rnacentral:rRNA from 1 species
UCGCCUGUUUAUCAAAAACAUCGCCUGGAGAUUACAUUCCAGGUAAUGCCUGCCCAAUGAUUUAAAUGGCCGCAGUAUCCUGACUGUGCAAAGGUAGCAUAAUCAUUUGUCUUUUAAUUGAAGGCUAGUAUGAAAGGCAACACGAAGAGUUAACUUUCCCAAGAUCUAAAAUAAAUUAAUCUGAAAGUCAAAAAGCUUUCAUCUAUACGCAGGACGAGAAGACCCCGUAGAGCUUUAUGUACAUUAAACUAUGCACUGGUAGAAUAAAAUCUGCGUAGUAAUAUGAAACAUUUAGUUGGGGCGACUAGAAGUAAAUCAACACUUCUUACCAAACCCUUAAUUACUGUGAAGCUGAUCCGUUAUACGAUUAAAAAUUAAGCUACCUUGGGGAUAACAGCGUAAUCCAAACUGAGAGUUCUUAUCAAAACUUGGGAUUGCGACCUCGAUGUUGGAUUAGGAUCCUACUUAGGUGCAGCAGCUUAAAGUAGAGGUCUGUUCGACCUUUAAAAUCCUACGUGAUCUGAGUUCAGACCGGA